rnacentral:lncRNA from 1 species
AGAAACUUCCACUAUAACCAUGACAUAACUCUCAUUACUGUAACAUCAACUGCAAUGUUAUUAAUCGGUCAAUUGGUUGUGGACGGUUCACCUGCACCUACUUCACCAGACAAGACAUCACCAGAAGUCACUCCACUAGUCUUCGGAGAUUCUGUUCACACGGAGCAAUACCAUGACGCCCUAUUCACAUAUCAUCCAUCCCCACAUCAAUCGUCCACACACAACCCACCCACGUGUCGGCUAUCCACACACCGCUCAUCCACACAAACCCCAUACACACACCACCCGUGUUCCCCUUCCGAGUCCACACCACACUC